GGUCAUGGAGAGUCUCCAUCCAGCUGGAUCACUGUCACAGGAAAACCUACAACCACACCUCCACCCACCAUGUCUACAACCUGGCUCCCUGCCUUAACUCCCACCCCUGCUGCAUCGCCUGACUCCUCUACCCUGCAACUAGUGAUCAGACUGGCCCUCCAUCUGCUGGUGUUCUUUCCAUAUUUCAUCUCCACCCUCCUCCUUGUGUCUUUAUAUCGAUGCAGAGCCACAGGUCUUGACUCAGCCCAACCUGCUGAGCAGGGACUGGAUGAUAAGUAAGAUGACAUUAUGGUUACUGAAUAAACUAGUGACUCGUUCAUCCUUGUGUUUUAACCUAUUUACUGUUCUACAGUCUGUCUGUAUCCACCUAAUUUCAUUUGAACAUCCACUCUCAACAAAUUAACAAUAAAACAAUAAUCCGAGUACAGCAUCAAAUCAGUUAAACUUAAACUGCUUCUGAUAUGUUAAGCAGCAGAGAAGGUUCGUAAUCCUUUUUGGCAACACCAAAUGGUUUUUAGCUUUCAGUGGAGGCUACUGAUACUUUUGGUUUGACUGUUUGUUUCUUUCACUAGUUUUGCAUUUGAUUAGGCUCAUUGUCACUACUGGUGAUAUGAGUUGAUACUUGGACCCUGCAGAGGUUGCACAGGUAGUCCUACUCCUCCAGGAUGCCACAUCGAUGUGUGCCAUUUGAAGAUUUAUUUUCUAGCAUAGUCUCAAGGGCUAAUUCUUAUAGCUCUUUUUUGUAACUUGAAAAUAGGAAGAGUUUUUGUUUUAUGUGCAUUACCUCAUAUCUCUAGACAAUAAGUCAUAUAUGGAAGCAACAAAGAACAAUAAAGGGUGUAUAAUGAUUUCUUGUUCAGGACAUGCUUUGUUUUGUAGAGAAUAGCAAUGUUUUUUGACAUUUUUGUUUUCACAUGGUUUAUAUGAGACCUCCAGCUCAGCUUAUCAUCAAUUAUCACUUAUUUUAAGGAUUUACUAGUGAGAACAUGUAACAGGUUUUUAGGCCUGGACAAGUUUGAAACUUUGGUUCUUCAACAAUGGAAAAUGGCUGAAAAUAAAUAAAGGUAACACUCUA